UACAGAGGGGGCGAGCGUUGUUCGGAAUUACUGGGCGUAAAGGGCGCGUAGGCGGCCUUCUAAGUCGAACGUGAAAUCCCCGGGCUCAACCCGGGAACUGCGUCCGAUACUGGAAGGCUUGAAUCCGGGAGAGGGAUGCGGAAUUCCAGGUGUAGCGGUGAAAUGCGUAGAUAUCUGGAGGAACAUCAGUGGCGAAGGCGACACCCUGGACGUCAUACUCGACACUGAGGUGCGAAAGCGUGGGGAGCAACAGG
rnacentral:rRNA from 1 species